CAACGUGUAGGCCUUCAAGCGGGUGUAGUCGGGAACGGGCACCGCAUGCAUCGACGAGCCAAUAAGGAAGUGCGCAGGAGUAAGCGCCGCCAAAUCAUUCGGGUCAUCCGUCAGCGGCAACAAAGGACGCGAGUUCAUUGCCGCUUCUAUCUGCUGCAGAAUGGUGCUGUACCCUUCAUACGACAGCCUCGAACUGCCUAGGUGCCGAUAGAGAUGUCGUUUGGCCGUCCUUUACCGCUGCUUCCCACAAUCCACCGAAAUGUGGGGCCUUAGGUGGGGUAAAGUGCCAAUUCGUGUGCUGCACCCUCAAAGUUUUUCCCAUUAUCCGAGUGUAUAUCCGAUGGUGUUCCGCGCCGGGAUGUAAACCGAUGCAAAGCGGCCAAGAAUCCUGCAGUGGUGAGAUCGCCAACCAGCUCCAGGUGAACCGCCUUGGUUGAAAAACA